GACGAACGCUGGCGGCGUGCUUAACACAUGCAAUUCGAACGGAAAGGCCCUGCUUUUGUGGGGUGCUCGAGUGGCGAACGGGUGAGUAACACGUGAGUAACCUGCCCUUGACUUUGGGAUAACUUCAGGAAACUGGGGCUAAUACCGGAUAGGAGCUCCUGCUGCAUGGUGGGGGUUGGAAAGUUUCGGCGGUUGGGGAUGGACUCGCGGCUUAUCAGCUUGUUGGUGGGGUAGUGGCUUACCAAGGCUUUGACGGGUAGCCGGCCUGAGAGGGUGACCGGCCACAUUGGGACUGAGAUACGGCCCAGACUCCUACGGGAGGCAGCAGUGGGGAAUAUUGCACAAUGGGCGGAAGCCUGAUGCAGCAACGCCGCGUGCGGGAUGACGGCCUUCGGGUUGUAAACCGCUUUCGCCUGUGACGAAUCGUGAGUGACGGUAAUGGGUAAAGAAGCACCGGCUAACUACGUG
rnacentral:rRNA from 1 species